rnacentral:lncRNA from 1 species
GUGGACCAGCAGGUCUUGGGGUCUCAAGGGCUGGUCGUCCUUACAGGAUUUUCCCUUGUUCUCAGCAUCUAGACCCGUAACGCCCACUUCAGAAUGGGAGGGAGGAUGUCUGCUGCCCUGUCGUCUCCACACCCGAGGAAUGUCCGUGUGUGUGUGUGUGUGGUGUGCACAGCGGGCUGCACACAGCGGGCUCCACGGUGCUCGAAUGGAGGCCCUAAUGUGAAUGGAGACUAGCCUGCUGGUAGAGACCUUGGCAGUGACCGCUGUGGGCAAUGAGCCAUGGGCCAACAAUAUUCAAUGCUGUGUACCUGAUGGAUGGUUACUGUCUGAGACUGAGGCUUUUUGGGCCAGGAGUAAAAGGACUUGGUUUGUACUUGAUUGCGUCCUGUGGAUGCUUGCCUACCAACUGACUCAUCCUGACGUGCCAAAGGUCCUGGCUUUCCCCUGUGUGGAGCAUCACUAUCAAACAGUUCACUGUGGACUCCUCGUAGCAGAAGUACAGUAGGGGACAGCAAGUGUCAGCUCCAUCAGGACCCCUGAUUUAAUUAUUUACUGUGGAACCAUUGUCCUGAGUCAGGAGGAUAGAUGAGGAAAGAAUGAGAGCGUGGCUGGCAUCGCUUCAUGAUUACAUUCUGGGAAAGAUCUUGCCUGUUAACCUCUAGAGAAGGAGGGACGAUACAGACAAUGAAGACUAUAGCAGACUGAAUUACUCUCUGAGAUGAGGACUUUGCUAUUGCCAUUGCAGAACCACUGGUGGAAGUUGUUGUUAAACAGUGGGUCUUGCAUGCAAGCUCUACAGUUAUGCACAGUAUUUCCAUGACAUCCCAAGCCAUGAGGUUCAUGCUGCCAUAUCCCCCUGUUUAACAAGUGUGGAAACUGAUAAUGGACUCACAAUUGCUGAUGUAUAGGUUCUAAUGUUUUCUAUUGUGGACACGGGACACCCAGACUGAGAACCAAUGGCUCCAGUCUGAUUUAAACAUGGGUCCGUGCUCACACACUCAAUACCUACCCUCUGUGCUCACAAGUCCUGUGUGAGUAAGACUCCAAAUUAUUCUGUCUUGUUUUACUCAAUGGUAUGCUCUACCUUAUUAUAGAGUAUACCAUGUAUUGAGACAAGAAUGCCAGUCAUUCUGAGAAACAAAAUGCAACCAUUAGUUGUCAUUUUAAUUAGUGACGAAUAGUUGUGUCAAUCAUCAAACAUGCUUGUAUAAUUGGAUGAGAAGAGGUGUAACACGGGCCAAUGAUGACGAGGUUUCGGGAUUAUAAGUCACGGACGAUGACUACGUCACUAGAGGUCUGAGGUCCAUAGCAGAAGAUGCCUCAUGUGACCCUCUCAUGCAGGGGUUGCAUGUCAGGCAUGUGCAUACAGUAGAUAUUAGCCAUGCACUCU